rnacentral:tRNA from 1 species
CUUUACAUAACUAACUUAAGUGUUAAGUUCUUACCUUAAAAAUGUGCACUGCACUGUAGAGU